UGCUCCCUGAAGUCAGCGGCGGACGGGUGAGUAACACGUGGGCAACCUGCCUGUAAGACUGGGAUAACUCCGGGAAACCGGGGCUAAUACCGGAUGAUUCUUUCCCUCACAUGAGGGAAAGCUGAAAGAUGGUUUCGGCUAUCACUUACAGAUGGGCCCGCGGCGCAUUAGCUAGUUGGUGAGGUAACGGCUCACCAAGGCGACGAUGCGUAGCCGACCUGAGAGGGUGAUCGGCCACACUGGGACUGAGACACGGCCCAGACUCCUACGGGAGGCAGCAGUAGGGAAUCUUCCGCAAUGGACGAAAGUCUGACGGAGCAACGCCGCGUGAGUGAUGAAGGUUUUCGGAUCGUAAAACUCUGUUGUUAGGGAAGAACAAGUACCGGAGUAACUGCCGGUACCUUGACGGUACCUAACCAGAAAGCCACGGCUAACUACGUGCCAGCAGCCGCGGUAAUACGUAGGUGGCAAGCGUUGUCCGGAAUUAUUGGGCGUAAAGCGCGCGCAGGCGGUUCCUUAAGUCUGAUGUGAAAGCCCCCGGCUCAACCGGGGAGGGUCAUUGGAAACUGGGGAACUUGAGUGCAGAAGAGAAGAGUGGAAUUCCACGUGUAGCGGUGAAAUGCGUAGAGAUGUGGAGGAACACCAGUGGCGAAGGCGACUCUUUGGUCUGUAACUGACGCUGAGGCGCG
rnacentral:rRNA from 1 species